rnacentral:lncRNA from 1 species
CUUGGUUCUAUAUUUCAAAUUCUCAGCACCAAGCCAGGAAUCAGACCCGUGUGGUUCCUCUUUCCUCCUGGAGGAAGGCGCUAUGUGGAUUUCAAGGACUGUGUGUUGUCAGCCACUUUCUGCUAGCUUGGAGCAAAUGUGUGGACAUUCUGUUUUGGAGACAAGCUGUUGAUGGAGUCAAAGAACUUAGGACGAAGGCAGAUCCUUUACCAUCUGAGCCACCAGGGAAACCCCUUGGAAAGGAAUCAUGCUGUAAAAAUUAAGGUAUAUGUGUUUUCUUUGGGGGAAGAGGGUUACUUUUAUUCUUUUACUUUAAAAGGAGAUCCAACCAGUCCAUCCUAAGGGAAGUCUGUCCUGAAUAUUCAUUGGAAGGACUGAUAUUGAAGCUGAAACUCCAAUACUUUGGCCACCUGAUACAAAGAACUGACUCACUUGAAAAGACCCUGAUGCUGGGAAAGAUUGAAGGCGGGAAGAGAAGGGGACAACAGAGUAUGAGAUGGUUGAGUGGCGUCACUGGCUCAAUGGACAUGAGUUUGAAUAAACUCUGGAAACUGGUG